rnacentral:rRNA from 1 species
AAUCAACGCUGGCGGCGUGCCUCAGACAUGCAAGUCGAACGAUUAAAGCUCUCUUCGGAGAGUGCAUAAAGUGGCGCACGGGUGAGUAACACGUAAGUAAUCUACCUUUGAGUGGGGAAUAACAGUCGGAAACGGCUGCUAAUACCGCAUAAUGCAGCGGCACCGCAAGGUGACAGUUGUUAAAGGAGCAAUCCGCUUAAAGAGGAGCUUGCGGCAGAUUAGCUAGUUGGUAAGGUAAUGGCUUACCAAGGCUACGAUCUGUAACCGGUCUUAGAGGACGGUCGGUCACACUGACACUGAAUAACGGGUCAGACUCCUACGGGAGGCAGCAGUCGGGAAUUUUGGACAAUGGGCGAAAGCCUGAUCCAGCGACGCCGCGUGGGCGAUGAAGG